UGUUCGAUUAGAAUUGGAGAUAUUCAAUUCACUAAUAAGCGAGACAUAAUCUACAUCCACCAUUUCAAAGGGGGGAAUGAUUGGUUUGGGUGUCCAUUGGAAAGCAAAGAUGCUAUUGAGGAAUUAACUGUAAAGAUAGAAGACGUAUUCUGGCACUCAGAUUCUAUUGGUAGUGAUAGGGAUAAGAUCAGUGCCCAUGUGAAACUGUGUAAGGUGUUGUUCGAAAACAAGGAAUCAGAGCAGCAAAUGCCUAACCAACAAUCCAGUGCUAUGUUGGUGGCAGAUUUCUUCAGAUGGUCAGACGCUCAAGAUGAUGAUGAGGAGGUGGAGGAAGAAGAGGAUGUGUUGAGUGCAGCUAGCAACAAGAAGGAAACUUGUCUUGCAGAGGAGGAUAAGGCACCAUGUGUAGUAGUGAAACUAAAUGAUGGGUCCAACCAGCAAUCACUAGACCAACCAUCACUUGUUCAAGAAAAGGGAAAAACAUCUCCUUCUGACAAUACAGAGGAAGAAGAGGAGACGAUUAACGCAACCGUAAAUUCAUAUGGUGGGGUCAGAGGACCAAAUACUGUUCCUGAAGAGGUGGUUGAUAAGGAAGAAGACAACGCAGCUGAUCCAGGAGUAUGCAAUUGCGCAGUGAAAGCUGUUUGCUAUCGUCUUUGCAACUGUUUCAAUAUAGGGGUUUUUGUAGUCUUACUUCUCUAUGGUUUAUGGAGGUUUUAUUCUUCUGGCGAUGAAAUAUGGGUGCCACCACCAACUUGAUCAAUGAGUGACAAAUGUCGUGAAAGUUUCACGAGGAGGACUACAAGACCAUCCAACUAGUGGCUAGAAGGUUGCAGAAAUGUGUCCCUGAUUCAUGCUUUUAGGCUGCAUGUGUCCCCCAAUGGCAUAGAUGGCAGUGGAGAAAUAUUCCUAGCCUCUUCACAACUGGUGAAGAGAAAAAUGUGGUCCAGAAACAGAAAUCCAUGGGUCUUCCUACAAGCGAUGAGAUCCACAAGUGAGAGAUUCUCAAGAAAUUCAUGGCUGAGCAUUCUGAGAUGGACUUCUCAAGGGCAAAGAUAUCAUAGGAGGAUUGUUUCAAUUGAUACAUAAUGUUUACAGAGCUCAGGUUUUAAGCCAUUUUAGAGAUUUUAUGGGAGUUAAAACAAGUUAUGAGGCGGAAUUUCAUGUGUUGAUAGUGGGUCUCUCAAUGGCCAAGCAUCUUGGUUUCA